AUUGAACGCUGGCGGCAUGCUUUACACAUGCAAGUCGAACGGUAACAGGCCGCAAGGUGCUGACGAGUGGCGAACGGGUGAGUAAUGCAUCGAAACGUGCCCAGUCGUGGGGGAUAACGCAGCGAAAGCUGUGCUAAUACCGCAUACGAUCUAUGGAUGAAAGCGGGGGACCGUAAGGCCUCGCGCGAUUGGAGCGGCCGAUGUCAGAUUAGGUAGUUGGUGGGGUAAAGGCUCACCAAGCCAACGAUCUGUAGCUGGUCUGAGAGGACGACCAGACACAGUGGGAAUGGGAACCGGCCCAGAUUCCUACGGGAGGCAGCAGUGGGGAAUUUUGGACAAUGGGGGCAAGCCUGAUCCAGCAAGGCCGCGGGCAGGAAGAAGGCCUUCGGGUUGUAAACUGCUUUUGUACGGAACGAAAAGGUUUGGGUUAAUACCCUGGGCCGAUGACGGUACCGUAAGAAUAAGCACCGGCUAACUACGUGCCAGCAGCCGCGGUAAAAC
rnacentral:rRNA from 1 species